UACGGAGGGUGCAAGCGUUGUCCGGAAUCACUGGGCGUAAAGGGCGCGUAGGCGGCUCAUGAAGGCUGUGGUGAAAGUCCGGGGCUCAACCUCGGAUCGGCCGUGGCGACUCGUGGGCUGGAGCACUGUAGAGGCGGGUGGAAUUCCGGGUGUAGCGGUGGAAUGCGUAGAGAUCGGGAGGAACACCAGUGGCGAAGGCGGCCGGCUGGGGGUGACCUGACGCUGAGGCGGCGAAAGCGUGGGGAGCGAACCGG
rnacentral:rRNA from 1 species